GAUGAACGCUGGCGGCGUGCUUAACACAUGCAAGUCGAACGGAAAGGCCAGUGCUUGCCCUGGUACUCGAGUGGCGAACGGGUGAGUAACACGUGGGUGAUCUGCCCUGUACUUCGGGAUAAGCUUGGGAAACUGGGUCUAAUACCGGAUAGGACAACUUUUUGGAUAUUGUUGUGGAAAGCUUUUGCGGUUUGGGAUGAGCUCGCGGCCUAUCAGCUUGUUGGUGGGGUAAUGGCCUACCAAGGCGUCGACGGGUAGCCGGCCUGAGAGGGUGUACGGCCACAUUGGGACUGAGAUACGGCCCAGACUCCUACGGGAGGCAGCAGUGGGGAAUAUUGCACAAUGGGCGCAAGCCUGAUGCAGCGACGCCGCGUGGGGGAUGAAGGCCUUCGGGUUGUAAACUCCUUUCGCUAGGGACGAAGCUUUUUUGUGACGGUACCUGGAGAAGAAGCACCGGCUAACUACGUG
rnacentral:rRNA from 1 species